CGCGCAGGCGGUCUUGUCCGUCAGGUGUGAAAGCUCGGGGCUCAACCCCGGAAGUGCACUUGAAACAGCAAGACUUGAAUACGGGAGAGGAAAGCGGAAUUCCUGGCGUAGAGGUGAAAUUCGUAGAUAUCAGGAGGAACACCGAUGGCGAAGGCAGCUUUCUGGACCGAUAUUGACGCUGAGGCGCGAAGGCGUGGGUAGCGAACG
rnacentral:rRNA from 1 species